GAUGAAGAACGUAGCGAAAUGCGAUAAGUAAUGUGAAUUGCAGAAUCCAGUGAAUCAUCGAAUCUUUGAACGCACAUUGCGCCCCUCGGUAUUCCGAGGGGCAUGCCUGUUCGAGCGUCAUUAUAACCCUUCAAGCUCAGCUUGGUGUUGGGGCCUGCUGUAACUGGUAGCCCUUAAAAUCAGUGGCAGUGCUAUUAGGCUCUAAGCGUAGUAAUUCUUCUCGCUAUAGUGUGUAGUGAGCGCUUGCCAGAACCCCAAACUUUUAUAUGAUUGACCUCGGAUCAGGUAGGGAUACCCGCUGAACUUAAGCAUAUCAAUAAGCGGAGGA
rnacentral:misc_RNA from 1 species